AAGCCACACAGGUAAUAUUUAAUAGAACCAGACUUUGAAAAUAUUAAAGGAGAGUGAGUUUCCUGACCACCAGCAAGGGAUAGGAGGGGGGAAAAAAUGAAGCCAGGAGCAUAGAUAAUCCACAGAGAAAGCAAUCGGUCCCUCCAAGAAAGAGCUGAUGGAAAAAAACAGUCAAAGUCAGAGAAUUCUGAGGGUUAA